UAUAAUACUUGCUAAUGAUAAGAAAUGACUAUGUUACGGUUUAUGUAUGUAAUACACUAUACUUUUAUUGUUAUUUUAGAGUAUACUCUACUUAUUAUAAAAAUUUAACUGUAAGACAGUCUCAGGCAGGUCCCUCGGAAGAAGGUAUUGCUAUCACAGGAGAUGACAGCUCCGUGUGUGUUAUUGCCCUGAAGACCUUCUAGUGGGACAAGGUGUGGUGGUGGAAGAUGGUGAUAUUGAGGAUCCUGACCCUGUGUAGGCAUAGGCUAAUGUCUGUGUUUGUGUCUUAUUUUUUAACAAAAAUGUUUAAAAAGUAAAAAGAAAAAAACUGAAAACAAAGAAAGGCUUGUAUAAUAAGGAUAUAAAGAAAGAAUAUUUUUGUGUAGCUGUACAAUGUGUUUGUGUUUUAAGCUGACCGUUAUUACAAAGGAGUCCAAAAGUUGACAAAAAUUGAGAAGGUUAUAAAGUAAAAAGGUUACAGUAAGUUAAGGUUAAUUUAUUAUUUCAGAAAGAAAAACUUUUUCUAUAGAGAGUAGCCUAGGUGUACAGUGUUCAUGAAGUCUACAGUGGUGCAGAGUCAUGCCUUAGGCCUUCCCAUUCACUCUCCACCCACUCACUGGCUCACCCAAAGCAACUUCUAGUCCUGCAAGCUUUAUUCAUGCUUAGAUUUUUGGAAUGUUUGAAGACAAACAUUGCCGUGGAGAUCACCUGGUAGCUUUCUGAGCAGGAGGCUGUGGACUGAGGGGAGCCAUCCACUCUGCCGAGAGCUUGAGAAAAUGAAGACUGAAAACAGAGCACUGGAGGUCGUUCAUACGCAAAAAUGCUUUCCCCUCGGAAUUGUCUCCAGCUCCUUCACCUCUUGGUUGUAGGUACAGACAGCAGAGACAAGAAGAGCCUUGAAGAGGCAGCCACACAUUGUGAUGAACAUCAAAUGGAUCCACGGCUCUGCGGAGGACCCAAGACAACUUGCUUGAAUUGUUAAGACCUUAUAUGAGGUCUCACUAUGCUGCCCUGGCUGGUCUCAAACUCCUAGACUCAAGAGAUCUGCCUGCCUCCCAAAGUGCUGGGAUUACGGAGAUGACCCUCUGCACCUGGCUUCAGUCACUCUUUGAUGACUGAGGACAAUCCAACUUUCUUCCUGGGAGAUAACGAUCCUCAGGUUUGGAUCCUGCAAGUCUUUUUUCUCUGCAUUCACACACGUGUUUAUAGCCGUGGAAUAAAGUUCUCUUUUCAUGUAAAUGGCAUACUCUGUGCACGGUUCUUCACUUAGUCUUUCUCCCCGGUGGACCCUACGUCUUAGUGACCAUUUCCAGGGCCACAUCACAGAUCAGCCUCAUUCUAUUUAAGAGCUUUCUAGUAUACACCGCCCUUAGUGAUGGAAAUUUGGGUUGUUCUCAGAAAAAUUGUAAAUCACAGUUUACUUAAAAAAAUUAUUACUUGCUUUAAAAAAUGCCCCAAACAAUAAGAGCGCUCAUUUAGUGCUGAGGUUUACGCUCCUUUUCACACUCACACAAUCAGCGCCAAUCACACUUUCCAGAAUAUGGAAUGCCU
rnacentral:lncRNA from 1 species